rnacentral:rRNA from 2 species
AUCCUGGCUCAGGACGAACGCUGGCGGCGUGCCUAAUACAUGCAAGUCGAACGAGCUCUCCCAAAUUGAUUUUAUGCUUGCAUAAAUGAUUUUUGGAUUCGGAGCGAGUGGCGAACUGGUGAGUAACACGUGGGUAACCUGCCCCGAAGCGGGGGAUAACAUUUGGAAACAAGUGCUAAUACCGCAUAAUUAGUUGGAACCGCAUGGUUCCAACUUGAAAGAUGGCUCUGCUAUCACUUUGGGAUGGACCCGCGCCGUAUUAGUUAGUUGGUGAGAUAAAAGCCCACCAAGACGAUGAUACGUAGCCGACCUGAGAGGGUAAUCGGCCACAUUGGGACUGAGACACGGCCCAGACUCCUACGGGAGGCAGCAGUAGGGAAUCUUCCACAAUGGACGAAAGUCUGAUGGAGCAACGCCGCGUGAGUGAUGAAGGUUUUCGGAUCGUAAAACUCUGUUGUUAAAGAAGAACAAGUGUUAGAGUAACUGUUAACACUUUGACGGUAUUUAACCAGAAAGCCACGGCUAACUACG